ACACCUCAACUCUCACGGUUUCUCGUGAUGAGCUUGGAUGUUGGGGGUUUUGUUGGCUGUGGUCAGCUCCUCUCAAAUGAAUCAGCUCGCCGGUGUUUGGUGGCAUUACGGGUGUGAUAACGAUCUACGCUCGUGGUUGUUGACCAGGUAACCUCCAGUGAUGGGGGUUUGCUGGAGCUCACAAAUGUCUCUCCUCGGCGAGGACAGGUCUUUGAAC
rnacentral:misc_RNA from 1 species